AACGUGGAGACAGGUGGUGCAUGGCUGUCGUCAGCUCGUGUCGUGAGAUGUUGGGUUAAGUCCCGCAACGAGCGCAACCCUCACCCCUAGUUGCGACCGGGUUAUGCCGAGCACUCGAGGGGAACUGCCAGCGUCAAGCUGGAGGAAGGCGGGGAUGACGUCAAGUCAUCAUGCCCCUUACGCCCUGGGCUACACACGUGCUACAAUGGCCAGUACAAAGGGAUGCGAGACUGCGAAGUGGAGCUAAUCCCAAAAAGCUGGUCUAAGUUCAGAUUGCAGUCUGCAACUCGACUGCAUGAAGGAGGAAUCGCUAGUAAUCGCGCAUCAGCACGGCGCGGUGAAUACGUUCCCGGGCCUUGUACACACCGCCCGUCACACCACGAAAGCUGUCUGUACUCGAAGUCGCUGAG
rnacentral:rRNA from 1 species